rnacentral:misc_RNA from 1 species
AUUAGUGGAUUCUGUUGGCGCAGAAACAUCGUUUAGUAAGUUUCGUCCUUCACUGUGAAUGAUAUUAGUUUGUAAUAGCUUGUAUAGUGACAAUGGGUUCCAAAGAAUUAGAAACGCAGAUAUGCGAGAGGAAAUUAAUAUCUGUUACAAUUGGAAAACGAUGGAUAAUCGUAUAGUCGUAUAAUUAGGGAGAUGAUUUUACGGAACAAUGAUUUCCGAAUACCAAGGAAGAAACUAUUUAUUAACAAGACGAAUCAAGCUAAGCUUUUAAAACGUGUAAAAAGCUACGUAGAUAAAGAUAAUGGUUUCUGGAACAAAGUUAUCUCUUUGGGGGGAAAGAAAUUGGACGUAUUUAGAACGAAUGAGAGUCAUAUGUCUGAAGGAAGUUCAAAUGAAUACAUCCAACGGUCCACUAAAUUUGGAUCUUUGUGAGCGGAAAUAGGCAGUAAAUUAAAAAAUUAUGACUAAAAUAACUGAAAAGCUGCGCAUGACACAAUGUCUAAAAAGUGUACUUGAUGCCAAAGGAGACCCAACUAAAUAUUAGUAUAAAAUAAAAUCCGUAUAAUUAUCAAUGCCGCUUGAACAUCUCUGCGAUCCUUAUUUCAGUAUGCUUUGCAAUGAAUAUUUUGUAACUUCUACAUGCAAAUAUUAUCCGAUUUACUUGAAAUUUUGCACACAUAUGCAUAUAAUCUCGGUACUUGUCUCUUACAGUAACAACAUCACUUCCAGAAUUUAAGCUUUGUUUAAAGUUUUAGUAGCGUUCAAACAGUUUCAUCAGUCACUGUAUACAUAUUACCUUAAAUUAUUUUCACAAGAAAAUUUAGAAAGUAAACAAUUAUAGAAUCAACUAUUAUUAAUUGAACAAAAAUGAACGGUGUUAUUGUCACGGUUGAUUUUCGUUUUAUGAUAAUUGUUCUCGUUUUACAUAGAAUAAAUAUAACUUUAUAGAGUUGUU